UAGAACAAUUUCAUCACACGCCAUUGGUGCUUGGUAGUGGGCGUGUGUAGCACGUGCACACAUACGUGCAACCUCGCACGUUACUCUUUGUCCGCGCGAACAAAGGGCCGCGAUUAUUUUAUUAAGCUGUUAAAAUAUUCGAUAUUUGAAACGACUUUAGUUUCUUUUGCUGUCGCUCGUUUUUUUUUCGUUUGUGGAUUUUGUUUUGGUUCAAAUUUGGAAUGCUCAUUAAUUUUACUUUUUUUUGACGUUACGUAGCAAUUUAGCUGUAUUUUAGGCCGACAGUUACACUUUGGACUGUUUUGUGGAACCAUAGACUACGUACGACCUACGACGUAACCUCCACAAAGAUCGAAGGGGCCAAAAAGAAUAAUUUUAUGCUGCAGGCUGAUAAAUGUUUCCAAUCCCUGAAUUGGACGCAUCAUUUUUUAGAUACACUCUUGUGGUUUCCACAGCAUAAAGAAACAACUUUAUAAGGAAUUUGUCUUCGAAAUAAACAUGAAUACUAAAAAAAAACUUUGCGUAGUAACCAUA